GAGAGUGCAUGUCCAUCAAGGUCACGCUUGAGACUAGCAGAGGCGAAACCAGCGGGAAGACGACUUCGCCACCAAGGGCGGGCGGGCCUGCUGGGAUACUCCGGGUAAGUGGGACGCACUGGGCGGGGUUUCGCCGUUCCGAGGAUGUCGGGGAAGGGGGGUCACUGCCAGAUGGAGGUUCCGGUUCCGGUGCAGUGUCUGGCUGGUUGCGUUGCUACGGCAGCGCGGUUGAGCGCUCUCGUCUGUGUGAUCGGGGCUUCGCUGACUUUCCGGCCUACUUAAGCCCCUGGGCCUGGGCCCAGGAAGGGUUUGUUGAACCGGGAGCUAAGAAGGAAAUUGGCUCGUUCGACAGACGUUUUCUGCGCAGCUGUGGCGUGCAAGGCACGGGGCCGGUGCGGGACCUCCAGAGAGACCUGUGCCCAAAGCUUGAGAAAUGAGAAGCAGAUUCCUGGAUUCCAGGUAAAUCAGAGGAACAAACCUGAACAGAAAUAUACAGGAAGUGAUGUGAUGCUGAAGCUUAACGCUUAUUUCAGAAGUCUGGUAUCUGGUGCUCUUAACAGCAGAAACUAUAUUAUUUGCAAAAUCACCACGCUUUUACUUGUAUUAUAUAGUAAUUUUUUAAAAAAUAAAUAUUGACAAUUUGUCCUUGAAA
rnacentral:lncRNA from 1 species